UACGGGGGGGGCAAGCGUUGUUCGGAAUUAUUGGGCGUAAAGGGCUCGUAGGCGGUCUGUCGCGUCGGGAGUGAAAACUCAGGGCUUAACCCUGAGCCUGCUUCCGAUACGGGCAGACUAGAGGUAUGCAGGGGAGAAUGGAAUUCCUGGUGUAGCGGUGAAAUGCGCAGAUAUCAGGAGGAACACCGGUGGCGAAGGCGGUUCUCUGGGCAUUACCUGACGCUGAGGAGCGAAAGUGUGGGGAGCGAACAGG
rnacentral:rRNA from 1 species